GGGGUCCGAUGGUUGUUAACAUUCAUUCUUCUAUGGAGGGAUUUUCCCCCACCCUUUGGUUGGCUAUAGGUGGUCCAAGAGGGAUGCAUCUACAGGUAUUCUAGCUUAGCAAGAUAGAUAUUAGAAAAUAUCAUCUCUCCAACCAUGGAACUGCAACAGGUGUUGGCCUGAUGAAGCUGCUAAUGUUUCAAUCAUCCCAGCCUGGG
rnacentral:lncRNA from 1 species